GAUUCUUGAGCAGUCACAUGGAUCUGUGAGCUUAUGGGCAGUAACUUGAGGAGUUAGCCAUCCUGGACAUUAGAAUGUAAGAGGUAGAGUGGAAGUUAAUUACCAAUUUGGCUUUGACAUUGGCUCCCCCAAUCAACCACCCGGGUCUCUUCUUGGAAGAAGAAGACCACAUCUUCUAGUUUCUCAGCUCUGAUCUGCCAGGGAAACAGUUCAGGCUUCAGGUCAGACUGAAAUGUGGAGCUUUGUGACCUUGGGGUGAAGAAUCAUACAACAACUCAUUCAUUCAUCUUAAAUCAUCUUGGAGCCACAUUGUGGGGGCAUUAAAACAUGACCUAUCUCCUUGGUCUUUUUUUCUCAAACUUGAAGUUGCUGAUGGCAGGAGCCAACCUGGACCUCAGACUCUAAGGAGCGCAGGUCCUGGGAUCUCAGGAAGGAGGACACGCCAACAGAGGGACCCGUCCGAGCACGGUGCAGCUAAGGGCCCUCCACGGGGACUUGAGGG